AAAUAUUCUUAGCACGAAAAUGUUCAAGAACUUAACCAAAAUUACUAGUUAUACUGCGCAAUAUCGAAUAAUUUGAAUCUCUCAUAUGUAAUAUACGUUAUUGUUACAUGAUAUUCCUCAAUUUAGCGAAAAUUAGUCAAUUUAUCUGAAUAUAUACUUUUGAUUAUAUGUCCAACAGUUUAAUUACAUCAGGGGAAACUCCAGUGUUAAUGCUGUUCCAUGGCAAAUAAAGUUGAGACUACAUUUGGCACUCUUGAAACGGAUGAACGUUACAAGAAAUUAGAACGCUGUUUGAAGUUAGCCUUGCUAAAGGAGAAACACAACAAAAAUGUACAUAACACAGUGGAACAAUCCAUAUCAAGCUGGCCUAGUAUCUCAAGCAUUAAUGCAGAUACUAUAAAUUCCAAUUGUAUAACUCCAUCUAUACAGGCUUUAAGAAUUGAUAGCAAGAUUUUAGCCUCUAGUAAUAACCUAAGAUGUAUGCUGUCAAAAAAGAAGGAUUAUGAUAUCAAUAAAAAAAUUAUAGCUACUUCUAGUGUUAAACAGUACAGUGCCAAACAGGAUAAUUAUAUUGAUCAAUGUAAAAUUAUGCCACCUCCAUCAGUGAACAGAGUCUAUCAUACUUCAAAGAGAAGACAGAAUAAUGUUGAUAUAUUAUCGGAAGGUGAAAAACUUGCAUCGACACCACUCAACAGUUCAAUUCAGCCUUCAGUGAUAAACAGUGAUACCUUUGCCUUUAAAAAUUCAAAAAUUAACACAAGUUAUAUAUCUGCUAGUACAAAUAAUGAUGAAGAAUAUCUACAUUCUUUGGUAACACCUGCUAAAGAUUUACCAAAGAGUAUUGAGAGAGUAUUUUCAAAGUGGAAAGUUAUGUUAAAUGCUGAGCAUCAAUUAAUAAUCAAGGGAACAUUAAAAUGUGGCAAGGUUGCACGCAGUAAACCAGUUAUAAGAAGAUAUUCCGCUACAUGUGUUGAAUCUAUUUUCAAACACCAAUAUCACCUUCAAGGAAGUAUUAAUGAUGAAAAAAAUGAAUUGCCAGAUUAUAUACGUGGCAAAUUCUACAAUGGCUUUCCUGACGAUUGGGAGAACGUUUAUCAGAUAUGGAGAACAUUCGUCAACGAGGGAUGCUUGGUAACAUUUCGUUGGCCCACACCCAUCACCGACAGUGAUGACGACUUAAAAAGCGAAAUGACAGAUUUAACAUACGUAUGCAGGACGAGGAACAAGAGUAAUACUUUAUUGAGAUCUUAUGAAACGAUUGAACCUGCUAAACAAGUAAUUCAGCCUAAAAGUCAAGGCAAUAAAUCGUCAGAAAAAGUAAAAACAUAUAAUUCCAUGCAAAGUACCAAAAGUUACGGAGAGAAUUGCACGUUCGUCAAGUCUUUCGUUUCCGAUGCUGAGAAUGAUAGAAGUCUUGCCGCGCAAGCAAGCAACGUAAGUAACGAGCUGAAUAAGCAAAAUAUUAAGACGAACGUAAAUCAACCGCACAGUCCUAAGAAGAAAAAUAAAUUGAAAGAUUUCCUUCAAGAGGACAAAUUGAGUAUCAUUAUUAACAACCUAGCAGAUAAAAAUUGUUCUACGAAAUAUAUCGACAAAAUUAUCGAAAUGUUCGAUUGCUUGGAUUAUGUGAUGUCUUACAGAACAAAAACGGAAAGUGAUUUCAACAUGGUCUCCGAAAAUUGCAAUACGUCUAAAUCUGAAGAAAAUUCGCUACAAGUACUCCUGUGCAACAAGGAUAAUAAUAUAGAUGACAAUAAUCACGAGAAACGAACAGAACCGAAAAGCCAAAUGCACUCCUCCGAUCUGGGAUAUGGGAAUAUAAAGAACGACAUCGAUCCUAACCAGCUAAGAUCGCACGUGAAAGAUAGCGUUAAACAGGAACACGAAGACUUCGAUAAAUCUGAGAGCGAGAUUUACGCGGGCGUACCGAAGAUCUCGAUCGAGCGAGUUUUACAAGCUCGUGAAGCGAUGAGAAAGUUUCCGAGACGUAAGGUGAGAAAGAAGGCUACUCAACUGGACCAGCAGAUGCACGCGGCGAAUGAACAGCAUAAUGCAAACGUUAAACACAACUUCACCGUUCACACCACGCUUCCGACGUCUAACGCCGAAAAGAAGAAUCUUCUUCCCGAUGAAUCUUGCGUUAGUAUCACGGAGGAGGAAAUGGAAGCGCCAGAGAUCACAAGAACACAUCACAGAGUAGCGAAUAUCGUUCACAAACCGCAGGAAACGACGUUUAGUAGUCAUCAGCUACAGCGAACGGAUUCCGUCAUUCGUACGGAAAAAACAGCUGCUCCUGCGACGCGUAUGCAACGCAACGAACCAUUCUUUCUUGACAGGCUCAAUUUUAUUCAGCCACAAAGGAUCAAGCCGAACAUUUUUACGAAGAAACAAAACUCGCGUGAAGUACAAGAGAAAAGGCAAUUGCAAUUUACAGAUGUUGAUUAUACCACCAAUUCCGACGUCGAGAAAGACGUCGCAACUGCGACGAACGUGUGUAAAACACGCGAAUCUAACGGAGCAGAAUCUCAUGCUAAUUUGCGCCAAGACGCAGCGGUUGUUCACGGCGAAAAUGGCAACGAUUUCCUCGAGAAGGCUCGUGUCUCGCAGGAAUUUGUCGAGCUACCGAAAGUCAAGGAUGCAGUUACCAGAUCUAAACCUACUAUAGUCUCGGCAAUACCUGUGAAUAUUAACUUAAGAUUAACUAAAGCAGAUGUGCAUAGAUCCGCGAAAUCGCAUGACUCAGAUGUAAGUAUCAUAGACACGCAUGAGCAGCGCGCGAAUGUUCGCUCGAUGGAAGAAACUCCUAAGAAGAAGCCCGCACCCGUAUCGAAAACGUCGACCAUUACGGAACCUGCGUUUAUCCCGAACGAAUUGCCUCUCAGUACAACAGUCAACAUCGAGAAAGAGAACGAUGCAGCAUCGAGUAUCGCGAAAAAUGCAAAAAAAGAAUCGGAUAACACGAGUCCGACUAAAUCGAAGACGAUUGUAACUAAACGAUCUAACAAGCAAGUCGACGAAAACAAUCCUAAGAUGCUGACUGCGUGGGCGCCGAAAGUAGUGUAUCAUCCCACGUUCAAAACUGAGUUGGGUUUGACUUUUCAAGGAAAAUUGCUCAACGAAGCUGGUCACAUCGUGCAUAGAAACUUCACAACGGAUAUCGUACUUAGGCGAUUGUCGCCGACAUUGGUCGAAACGGUGAAUCACGAAUUCUAUCAGCUUCUUGGGCCUCUGAGUGAUAAUAAGCACGUUAUUUCCAAGGAACUCGUAAAACAAUGUCGUCACGGAUGUCCCGCGAAGAUCGAGCAAUUUUGCCUAGCGUGGAAAUUGUUGCAACAUGGCGAAGUAGAAGUAGUCGAAGAAAAGCCUCACGAUAUCACAACGACUUCGCUAUCUGUACCAGUCAGUUCCAGAGGGCGUAAGAUCUUACCACCAUUGAGCUAUUGGACAGGUGAACGAGUAACUUUGAAGGACAACAUUCCAGUCUAUAGCUUGGGGAAUUCGAAAAAAUCGUCGUUAACUUCGCUAAGUCCGAAUAAGAAACAAGAGAUAAAUCCUAAAGACGCAUCAAAGAACAAUGUGACUAAACAAAAACCGUUGCCGGAUACCAAUGAGAUUUUCAAUACAAAUAAGAAUCAGGUUACCUCUACCAAGUUACCUAAAGCUGCGGAUAAUGUAAAGAAAUUCCGAAAAUCUACAGUUAAUGGGAAACGAAAAGUAUCGCAACAAUUAACGUUCUCAUCGAGUGAUUCUGAUUUUGAAGAAGAACGCAAGAUGUCUCCGCAUAAGCGCUUACGUAACUCUCAAUCAAAUACGGAUAAAGAUGCAAAAGUACAAUCGAAAUGCACUAUGACAUUGAGAAAACGGCAGAAGGUAGAAAUACCCUUGAACAGAAUAUCGCACGAAAACACCAACACAUCUAGAAAUAACGCGACGCAUUGCAUACCAACAAGAAAAUCUUACAGGCAUAAUAUAAUGUAUACUUAUUGUGAAGGCAUUCCCCGAGAGGACUUGUUAUCGGAGGAUCAGAUUUCUCUCAUAUAACGCAAAGCAAUAAUCAUAUUUUUGCAUAUGAUAUUGAUAAUCGAUACAAAUUUGAGCAAGGCACGACGACCCUGUUAGCUCUCGUCGUAUAGAGGAGUACCGUCCCCGCUCAAGGACAUGCUCCGCGGACUAGAAUUCGUAUGUGGAGUACCCCGCGGAGAUUUAUACGACGGAGUUCGCGUGGAGGAAGGUCUGUUUCUGCCUGAAGGCGUCGUCCUGCCAGCUGAUUCGUCGUAACUGCGAGGAGUUUUCCUCGAUUCCUCGUACCUCGGCGUCGAUCCACUGAAAGCACGUUUAAAUCACAUUAACGUUAAACUGAACGCGAGCUUAGUUUUAGUUUUUAACGACAGGUUCGUAAAGUUCCAAUAUCUUUUAUAUGGAAAAUUACAGCACAAAAGGAGAACGAAACUCACGAUACACGGGGACCGCUCUUUAGUCGCGCCCACGCUUCGGCUGCUUUUCUCCAAUCCGUGGGAUCGCCGGAAGGAGUAGAUAAGGGCGGCGUAGGUCUGUGCGAUGGAACAGAUCUGUGAUGACCGGGAGUCAUCGAAGGAGGGGGCGGAUGCACGAAGGGCCCUUGAUGAUGGCUCGGCGUCUGUUGACCGUAUCUCGGGGUCGGCUGACCAUGAUGUGGAGUAUGAUGAGGCGUCUGGUACGGUGUCAUGAAUGGAGUCUGUCCGGACGGCGUAUACGGUGUAUUCGGAUACGUGUGUACUCCGCCAUAACCAGCGGCGCCAGUUGCCCCCGGGGUAUGCGGCGGAUAAUGAUGUGGCGUUUGGUUCGCCACCUGCGACAAGGAGUGCAGCAUGUGAUGUGGAAGAUUCUGCGCCACUCUUUGUAUCGCCUCUUGAUUCAUUCCUGGAAUAGAAACGUUGCCUUCGUAAUAACAGUUGACAUAAGCUGCAGGGACAUUAAUUGACUAGAUUAUAAGCAGACUUAUUGUAGAUUAUAUAGUAAGAUUAUAUAUUAUAUUAUAUAUAAUAUAUAAUCUUAUUAUAUAAUCUUAUAUAAUAAUCUUAUUAUAAUAUAUAUAAUCUUAUUAUAAUAUAUAAUCUUAUUAUAUUAUAUAUUAUAUUAUAUUAUAUUAUAUUAAUAGCGUUAAAUGAACGGUAAGCUAACCCAUGAAA